GGCCUACCAUGGUGGUAACGGGUAACGGGGUGUUAGGGCACGACACCGGAGAGGGAGCCUGAGAAACGGCUACCACAUCCAAGGAUGGCAGCAGGCGCGCAAAUUACCCAAUCCCGACACGGGGAGGUAGUGACAAUAAAUAACAAUACGGGGUUCUUUAGGAUCUCGUAAUUGGAAUGAGUACAAUUUAAAUCUCUUAAUGAGGAACAAUUGGAGGGCAAGUCUGGUGCCAGCAGCCGCGGUAAUUCCAGCUCCAAUAGCGUAUAUUAAAGUUGUUGCAGUUAAAAAGCUCGUAGUUGAAUUUCGGGGUUAGUAGGUUGGUCAUGCCUCUGGUAUGUACUGGUCUCACUGAUUCCUCCUUCCUGAUGAACCGUAAUGCCAUUAAUUUGGUGUGGCGGGGAAUUUGGACUGUUACUUUGAAAAAAUUAGAGUGUUUAAAGCAAGCUAACGCUUGAAUACAUUAGCAUGGAAUAAUGAAAUAGGACGUUCGAUCCUAUUUUGUUGGUUUCUAGGAUUGACGUAAUGAUUAAUAGGGAUAGUUGGGGGCAUUAGUAUUCAAUUGUCAGAGGUGAAAUUCUUGGAUUUAUUGAAGGCUAACUACUGCGAAAGCAUUUGCCAAGGAUGUUUUCAUUAAUCAAGAACGAAAGUUAGGGGAUCGAAGACGAUCAGAUACCGUCGUAGUCUUAACAUAAACUAUGCGACUAGGGAUCGGAUGAUGUAUUUUUAUGACUCAUUCCGCGCUUACG
rnacentral:rRNA from 1 species